rnacentral:lncRNA from 1 species
UAUUAAGCCAAGUAUUCCCAUAUGCAUGUAUGAAAUUUGUUUUAAUAUUUUCAUACAAUUUUGGAGUCAUUAUUAGUGCUAUUUAAAGAUGACUUACCCUUUAAGAUAUUUGGCCAAAUACCUAAAAAUUUUCUUACAUCUUAUCUUAAUCACUUCCAUCAGAUUAACUUGUAAGUCACAGAAUUUAUGUUAUCAGUAAUCAGAAAAGAUUAAAAAAUAUAAUUUGGGCACCCACUAAUAACUCAACUAGGCAUCAAUACUUAGCCAAGCAGUACUACAAACCUCAAGAUCCCAAAUCAUUAGCAGCAAAUCAAGAUUGAGAAUAAGGACCAUCUCCUAGUCAUUCCUCAGGAAAGGUUGGGGCUCCUGCAUAAAUUUCCAGGGGUCUUUUAAUAUCCAAUAUUAUGGAGACCUAUUCACAUUAUAAUUUCUGAACAUCAACCACUCUCAGUUUAACUUCAUUUAUGACUCUUUGCCCUUAAGAGAGCCAGUGACCAACUUCAGGCAGGGGUAAUUCCAUUUCUCUGAGGAAAUCUGUUGUACAUCCCAUAGACAUAUUCAGUCUUCUCCCACUUUUCUGCUUCCAUCUCCUCAUCUGAUGUUUUCCCUCUUUACUUCCAUAUUCCCUAUUUGCCAAUCAUCAGAUACCCCACCUGAGUUAGGGUAUCAUUUCAUUGUAUUUUAUUACCAUCAGGUAACUGGCAGGAAUAUCAUGAAUUUUUUUAUCCUUUAAGAAAAGGAUCCCUUAUUUCUUCAGAAUUCUCUUAUCUUUUUUCACCUAUGUUUUAAGUAUUUUCCUUUGAGAUAUUUAGCUAAUUUGACAUUGGUUCCAAUUCCCACCUGGUUAGUGGAGAUAAGUCUCUCUCAUUCCUGGUAUAUUUUACACUUUUUAAACCAAUGUUAUUUGCUUUGCUCUCUGUUCUCUGAAUCAUUUUUCAGUUUUUACACAAGAUAGAGCAAAACACAGAGGUACGUAAUUUAAAUAAACCUGCAACAACCCUAGGGAGAGAUAUUGUUAUACAAAUUUUAUAAACAUAAAAACCAAGUUUAAUAACCCACCCAAAGUCAGGCAAUUAAUAGAUAAAUGGUACAAUUUUGUAUCGAUUUUAUCUCAUUUUAGUAUCUAAACCUUUCCUAUCAGUAAACAGUUUCUCAGGAUUUGAAUUAAUAUCCUUAACUGUUCCUUUUCUAUCUUCCCCACUAGUACACUUUGACCUUGCUUGGCAAAUUUGCAUAAUAAUAUCUGGAUGUAGCAUCUUUUUCUCUGAGGGAUAUAUAUUUGCUUAUCAUUUGUCUUCUGCAUUUUCUAUAAAUACCA